UACGAAGGGGGCUAGCGUUGUUCGGAUUUACUGGGCGUAAAGGGCGCGUAGGCGGUCAGCACAAGUCAAUUGUGAAAUCUCCGAGCUUAACUCGGAAAGGUCAACUGAAACUGUGCGACUAGAGUGCGGAAGGGGCAACUGGAAUUCUUGGUGUAGCGGUGAAAUGCGUAGAUAUCAAGAGGAACACCUGCGGCGAAGGCAGCCUUCUGGGCCAACACUGACGCUCAUGCACGAAAGCGUGGGGAGCAAACAGG
rnacentral:rRNA from 1 species